rnacentral:lncRNA from 1 species
UAAAGCGCUCUGCAUUUUCCUCCGCUUAAUUCAUUAGGGCUGUUAAACUUCAUCAAAUUACUUUCCUUAAGUUAAAAAAAAAAAAAAAAAAACCUACAACGUAGGGCCGUUUGGACCAGCCUGACUGAAUGUGGGCUGGGAUGGAAGAGUGCACACUUUUAAAGGAAGAGGAGCCACGUUCGGGGUUGCAGCGUGAAAGCCUCAUGGGAAUUUUUGGAAGCAUUUUUCCCCCUCCCUUUAAAUGGGAUGUGUCCUGGAAAAUCAGAAUAAAUCUUAGAGGAUUCCCUAAGCCCCCUGUGACCAAUUGGAAGCAGAAAGUCCCCACGGCAGAAACCCCAUGACCGCCUGGAAGUGCUGGUACACGGGCAAGUGUUUGGGGAACAUUUGGUGAAGAUUUCACCUUUGUGUCUCGCCAUGAGCAGAUUUUCAAAAAUAAACACAUCUUUUGUGCUUCCUGUUUUCUCCUGCUGCCUAGGAAACACCGUGCACCGCUACCAGACACUGAUGGGGGUCCUGGCUUCGCGUGACGAGCAAGACGGAGGCAGGACACGCUGGGUUCCCCUUCUCUUCCCUGGCUUGGGCUGCCUUAGGGUUGGGGGCAGGGCUACACUUGCCGGGGCGGGGGGGGGGGGGCGCUCAGCCAGUCCCUCUGAUUUCUUGGUGUUGAGACAGAAGGGGAGCUGAGCACCCAUUGCUUGCCUGGCAUUUGCUGGUCUCUGGCUCAAAGAUGAAGAGCACCCAAACCCCAGAGGAGGAGAACAGAAUCAAUACAGAAGCAAAUCUUGAUGCCUGGCUGAGAGCCACCCUUCAGUGGGGUGCAUGCAACUAGCACCCCUCAGAUCAAUCAACGCCCACCCAAAGAACACCAGGAGUGGUGAGAGGAGGGGGCCCAAGUUUCCAUCUCUUUGGCAAGUGUGCACCCGCGACAUCAACUCACGGAGAGAAGAGCCCCUGUGGAACUCACACCCUCCAGGCCUUGGGACCCUGGGUCACUGAACUGAACGCUCACUACCUACUAGAGGUGCAAACUGACCCAGAAAGCCCGGCUCAGCUGUCCUC